GCCAGACUCCUACGGGAGGCAGCAGUGGGGAAUAUUGGACAAUGGGGGGAACCCUGAUCCAGCGACGCCGCGUGAGUGAAGAAGUAUUUCGGUAUGUAAAGCUCUAUCAGCAGGGAAGAAAGAAAUGACGGUACCUGACUAAGAAGCCCCGGCUAACUACGUGCCAGCAGCCGCGGUAAUACGUAGGGGGCAAGCGUUAUCCGGAUUUACUGGGUGUAAAGGGGGCGCAGACGGCGAUGCAAGCCAGGAGUGAAAGCCCGGGGCCCAACCCCGGGACUGCUCUGGAAACUGCGUCGCUGGAGUACGGGAGGGGCAGGCGGAAUUCCUGGUGUAGCGGUGAAAUGCGUAGAUAUCAGGAGGAACACCGGCGGCGAAGGCGGCCUGCUGGACCGUGACUGACGUUGAGGCUCGAGAGCGUGGGGAGCAAACAGGAUUAGAUACCCGGGUA
rnacentral:rRNA from 1 species